AAGGUGUUUAGAUGUCUCAGGCUGGUAUCUUAGCAUGAGAAGUCGCUAUCUAAAUUAUUUUUACUAUUUCCAUCUGCAGCCAUAAAGACAUGGGGCUCACUACCAUCAUGAGCUCUGAUGGCUUCUAGCCAGGGCUGUAAGUUGGACUUAAGCUGACCCUGAAAAUGUUUGAUGAGCUAAUUCCCUCAUUUGUCAUUGGAAGUGCAAACUUUGGAAAUCCUGCCUUCGAGUCGGCCAAGAAAAGACGAAAACCAGAACGCAAAGGUCAGGGUGUGUGUGCUCAGAGCUGCUGCCUGGGAAGGGAAUGGUGUAGCCUUUGUCCUGUCAGGCCUCACCUCAGCUGAUCUGUGCUGCGUGUCCUUUGAGGAAAGACUUCCACUGUCCACCUAUGUCCGCUUCCAUUGACCUUGCUCCAGGAGGAGAGUGGCUCCUGCCCACCUCAGAAACUGGCUUGGGAGAUGGCUGCUGCCCCAUCCCUUCCACAUCCUGUGGGAAACCUUUCCUAGUGUGCUGCUGGUGUGACUUGGUUUAAAAUCCCUGCAUGAAAAAGCUGCUGUUGUCCUUACAGGGUCAUGUUUUAGAAUGCUCUCUGAUCUGAAGUUGUAGCUGAACCGAACUUGCUUCUAUUCUGUAAGCCUGCAUUAUAAAAUUCAUCCAGAUUUUUCUUCCUUUUUGGAAGUGGUGCUACCAACUUCUCCAACUGUCAUUACAAAAUGAGUGAGUUGCUCUAGGUCCAUUGAGUAGAUUGGCUUGGAAGCACUUUCACAUUUUUACCUGCAGUUGUCCUCCCUGCUUUGUGAGUUGACUUUGCUGUGUUCGAUGUGUUCGGGCAUCACAUAACUGUGGAGAAAGCUUUCCUUGUAUGAUUUUAGAGUGGUUUAUAGCCAUUGUGCAGUUGUUACUUUAUGGAAAAAAAAAUACAGGUUUGGGGCAGAUUUUACUUCUUAGCUGCUUUAACUUAGCUCCAGUUAUAGGUUGAGAGAAAACACCCAUUUCUUUCCACAGCAUGCAAGGUCAGGGACCCUGCAUACUUUGUCUGAAACCUGAAAGCACCCGGGGAACUACAUAGCUGGUUCUACUAGGUGUGCUCCAGAUUGUGUUAUGCUGAUACAAUGCUGAAAGGGCUGCGUGUACUGUUUGAUUGCAGCUCUCGGUUGCGUACUCUGCAUACCCAGAAAAGCACUGCUGUCUUGUAGGCUUGGAAAAAGAGGGU